rnacentral:lncRNA from 1 species
UCUUGUCCGUGAAAAUAAUAGGUUCAUCUUCUUCAUCCUUGUCUUUCUUCUCAUCAUCAUCCUCAUCCUCAUUUUCAAGCAGAUCCAAUGCAGAACUCCUCAUCCUGCCACCCUUAUUCGACUUCUUUUUCUUGUCCGUGAAAGUAAUAGGUUCAUCAUCUUCAUCUUUGUCUUCCUUCACAUCAUCAUUUUCAUUGACAAGCAGAUCGAAAGCAGAACUGUUCUUGCCACUCUUCUUUGAUUUCUUUUUCUUGUCUGUGAAAAUAACAGGUUCAUCUUCUUCAUCUUUGUCUUCCCUCACAUCCUCAUCUUCAUCAUCAAGAAGAUCAAAAGCAGAGGCCGAAAAUCCAGUAGUACCGCUCUUCUUCUUGCCACCUUUCUUUGACUUCUCCACCACAUCAUCAUCAUCAUCAUCACUCUCCUCCACAGAAUGAUCAUCAUCAAUCACCUCACUUUCACUACCACCAUCAACUGCAUCAAAAGCCGCUGCCGUAAACAGACUACCACUCUUAUUCCCACCUUUCUUCAAACCCUCCUUCGUUUUACCCUUACUCGCCAGAGAAAC